rfam:Xenopus tropicalis strain Nigerian Chr03_contig_3577, whole genome shotgun sequence.
GGCGCUGUAGCUUAGUUGGUUAAAGUGCCCAUCUAGGAGAUCCUGAGUUCAACUUUCAGCCGUGCCU